UACGGGGGGGGCAAGCGUUGUUCGGAAUUACUGGGCGUAAAGGGCUCGUAGGCGGCCAACUAAGUCGGACGUGAAAUCCCCAGGCUCAACCUGGGAACUGCGUCUGAUACUGGAUGGCUUGAAUCCGGGAGAGGGAUGCGGAAUUCCAGGUGUAGCGGUGAAAUGCGUAGAUAUCGUCAAGAACACCUAUAGCGAAGGCAGCUUACUAGGCUGUAACUGACGCUGAGGCACGAAAGUGUGGGGAUCAAACAGG
rnacentral:rRNA from 1 species